rnacentral:lncRNA from 1 species
UUGGCAUCCUACGCGGGAAGCUCCCUGUUUUCCAGAUUAACUCGAAGUACCCCACGACUACACGCUAAUGAAACUAGAGGAGGCACAGCCUCAGCUCCGUGCAGGAGGGACGCACAAGAGCAGAAUCUCCGUGGGACAUCUUUCUGGAGCAUCAGUAUUACUGCAGGAUUUGGAAGAAACGAAUUUAAAUAAUUUCCAACGUAAGACACUGGAAAUUUAAGAGAAGGCUGGAAAGUCAUUGGCCUUUAAUAACUGUCAGUCAUCUGUGCCUAAG